AUUGAACGCUGGCGGCAGGCUUAACACAUGCAAGUCGAGCGGGGUGAUGGUGCUUGCACUAUCACUUAGCGGCGGACGGGCGAGUAAUGCUUAGGAAUCUGCCUAUUAGUGGGGGACAACAUCUCGAAAGGGAUGCUCAUACCGCAUACGUCCUACGGGAGAAAGCAGGGGAUCACUUGUGACCUUGCGCUAAUAGAUGAGCCGAAGUCGGAUUAGCUAGUUGGUGGGGUAAAGGCCUACCAAGGCGACGAUCUGUAGCGGGUCUGAGAGGAUGAUCCGCCACACUGGGACUGAGACACGGCCCAGACUCCUACGGGAGGCAGCAGUGGGGAAUAUUGGACAAUGGGGGGAACCCUGAUCCAGCCAUGCCGCGUGUGUGAAGAAGGCCUUAUGGUUGUAAAGCACUUUAAGCGAGGAGGAGGCUCUUUUGGUUAAUACCCAAGAUGAGUGGACGUUACUCGCAGAAUAAGCACCGGCUAACUCUGUGCCAGCAGCCGCAGUAA
rnacentral:rRNA from 1 species